rnacentral:lncRNA from 12 species
UUUUUUUUUAAUGCAGGCAAUACUUUUUUUUUUUGUCUGUGCAUGGCAAAAGCCGUUUCCUCUAAGAGCAGUGGCCACCAGAGCUCCUUCAGUGUGUGACUAAUGCACGUGACUCAGACGUAGUCUUAGGCUUUGUUGUGGAAAGAGUCAAUUCCUGCUGAAUUUGUAUCUGUUUUGAUUGUUGUCCUAAAAUAUGAUCUGAAAAUGCAGGUAGAAAUAGCAUGGGGUAAGAUGAGAAGUUAUUUGUGCAAUUACAGCCAUGAUAAGGGAGAGAGAGAGCAUCUGCAAUGAAGAUAGAUCACUCAGAGACUUCAUCUAUCCAACUUGGAAUAAUGUGAAGGGAGGGGUCCUAAAGUGAGUUUAGAAACUGUCGUAUGGUCCAAACCAGCUCCUAAGAAUGCUUUCAGCUGCAAGAAACAGAAGCCCAACUCAAAUUGGCUUAAACAAAAAGGACA